UUAAGCGACUAAGCGUACACGGUGGAUGCCCUGGCAGUCAGAGGCGAUGAAGGACGUGCUAAUCUGCGAAAAGCGUCGGUAAGGUGAUAUGAACCGUUACAGCCGGCGAUGUCCGAAUGGGGAAACCCAGUGCAAUUCGUUGCACUAUCGUUAACUGAAUACAUAGGUUAACGAGGCGAACCGGGGAACUGAAACAUCUAAGUACCCCGAGGAAAAGAAAUCAACCGAGAUUCCCCCAGUAGCGGCGAGCGAACGGGGAGCAGCCCAGAGUCUGAAUCAGCUUGUGUGUUAGUGGAACGGUCUGGAAAGUCCGACGGUACAGGGUGAUAGUCCCGUACACCAAAAUGCACAGGUUGUGAACUCGAAGAGUAGGGCGGGACACGUGGUAUCCUGUCUGAAUAUGGGGGGACCAUCCUCCAAGGCUAAAUACUCCUGACUGACCGAUAGUGAACCAGUACCGUGAGGGAAAGGCGAAAAGAACCCCGGCGAGGGGAGUGAAAAAGAACCUGAAACCGUGUACGUACAAGCAGUGGGAGCACCUUCGGGUGUGACUGCGUACCUUUUGUAUAAUGGGUCAGCGACUUAUAUUCUGUAGCAAGGUUAACCGUAUAGGGGAGCCGCAGGGAAACCGAGUCUUAACUGGGCGUUAAGUUGCAGGGUAUAGACCCGAAACCCGGUGAUCUAGCCAUGGGCAGGUUGAAGGUUGGGUAACACUAACUGGAGGACCGAACCGACUAAUGUUGAAAAAUUAGCGGAUGACUUGUGGCUGGGGGUGAAAGGCCAAUCAAACCGGGAGAUAGCUGGUUCUCCCCGAAAGCUAUUUAGGUAGCGCCUCGUGAACUCAUCUUCGGGGGUAGAGCACUGUUUCGGCUAGGGGGUCAUCCCGACUUACCAACCCGAUGCAAACUACGAAUACCGAAGAAUGUUAUCACGGGAGACACACGGCGGGUGCUAACGUCCGUCGUGAAGAGGGAAACAACCCAGACCGCCAGCUAAGGUCCCAAAGUCAUGGUUAAGUGGGAAACGAUGUGGGAAGGCACAGACAGCCAGGAUGUUGGCUUAGAAGCAGCCAUCAUUUAAAGAAAGCGUAAUAGCUCACUGGUCGAGUCGGCCUGCGCGGAAGAUGUAACGGGGCUAAACCAUGCACCGAAGCUGCGGCAGCGACACUAUGUGUUGUUGGGUAGGGGAGCGUUCUGUAAGCCUGCGAAGGUGUGCUGUGAGGCAUGCUGGAGGUAUCAGAAGUGCGAAUGCUGACAUAAGUAACGAUAAAGCGGGUGAAAAGCCCGCUCGCCGGAAGACCAAGGGUUCCUGUCCAACGUUAAUCGGGGCAGGGUGAGUCGACCCCUAAGGCGAGGCCGAAAGGCGUAGUCGAUGGGAAACAGGUUAAUAUUCCUGUACUUGGUGUUACUGCGAAGGGGGGACGGAGAAGGCUAUGUUAGCCGGGCGACGGUUGUCCCGGUUUAAGCAUGUAGGCUGGUUAUCCAGGCAAAUCCGGAUAAUCAAGGCUGAGGUGUGAUGACGAGGCACUACGGUGCUGAAGUAACAAAUGCCCUGCUUCCAGGAAAAGCCUCUAAGCAUCAGGUAACAUCAAAUCGUACCCCAAACCGACACAGGUGGUCAGGUAGAGAAUACCAAGGCGCUUGAGAGAACUCGGGUGAAGGAACUAGGCAAAAUGGUGCCGUAACUUCGGGAGAAGGCACGCUGGUGUGUAGGUGAAGCCCCUGCGGGUGGAGCUGAGACCAGUCGAAGAUACCAGCUGGCUGCAACUGUUUAUUAAAAACACAGCACUGUGCAAACACGAAAGUGGACGUAUACGGUGUGACGCCUGCCCGGUGCCGGAAGGUUAAUUGAUGGGGUUAUCCGUAAGGAGAAGCUCUUGAUCGAAGCCCCGGUAAACGGCGGCCGUAACUAUAACGGUCCUAAGGUAGCGAAAUUCCUUGUCGGGUAAGUUCCGACCUGCACGAAUGGCGUAAUGAUGGCCAGGCUGUCUCCACCCGAGACUCAGUGAAAUUGAACUCGCUGUGAAGAUGCAGUGUACCCGCGGCAAGACGGAAAGACCCCGUGAACCUUUACUAUAGCUUGACACUGAACAUUGAGCCUUGAUGUGUAGGAUAGGUGGGAGGCUUUGAAGCGUGGACGCCAGUCUGCGUGGAGCCAACCUUGAAAUACCACCCUUUAAUGUUUGAUGUUCUAACGUUGGCCCCUUACCGGGGUUGCGGACAGUGUCUGGUGGGUAGUUUGACUGGGGCGGUCUCCUCCCAAAGCGUAACGGAGGAGCACGAAGGUUAGCUAAUCCUGGUCGGACAUCAGGAGGUUAGUGCAAUGGCAUAAGCUAGCUUGACUGCGAGCGUGACGGCGCGAGCAGGUGCGAAAGCAGGUCAUAGUGAUCCGGUGGUUCUGAAUGGAAGGGCCAUCGCUCAACGGAUAAAAGGUACUCCGGGGAUAACAGGCUGAUACCGCCCAAGAGUUCAUAUCGACGGCGGUGUUUGGCACCUCGAUGUCGGCUCAUCACAUCCUGGGGCUGAAGUAGGUCCCAAGGGUAUGGCUGUUCGCCAUUUAAAGUGGUACGCGAGCUGGGUUUAGAACGUCGUGAGACAGUUCGGUCCCUAUCUGCCGUGGGCGCUGGAGAAUUGAGGGGGGCUGCUCCUAGUACGAGAGGACCGGAGUGGACGCAUCACUGGUGUUCGGGUUGUCAUGCCAAUGGCACUGCCCGGUAGCUAAAUGCGGAAGAGAUAAGUGCUGAAAGCAUCUAAGCACGAAACUUGCCCCGAGAUGAGUUCUCCCUGAGACUUUAAGUCUCCUGAAGGAACGUUAAAGACGAUGACGUUGAUAGGCCGGGUGUGUAAGCGCAGCGAUGCGUUGAGCUAACCGGUACUAAUGAACCGUGAGGCUUAACCU
rnacentral:rRNA from 1 species